rnacentral:sRNA from 1 species
AUUAAUAUGUAAGAAAGUAAUUGAACUUAUCUUUUAUGAGGGAGGUCGUCGAGACAGAAUUGGAGAUCGCAUCAUUGAUGAAUGAGUGGAAACCUUGAGCGAUUGCUAGUGAUGAUCCAUUGUCACUUGUUGGUGUAAUGUAUUUCCUUUUGCUGAUUUAUAGAAGAACUGAUAACUUCCGUUUGAACCGUUAAACUAUUGAUCCCACCGUUGAAUCUUUAGCUGAUAGUCCCACGAAGAUUUUGUCCGAAUUUUAGUCAGAUCAGAUAUUGCCUGAGGCUUCUACCGUCUUAUGAAGUUGCUGUGACAAAGUGAAUAUUUCUUCCUUUGCUAUAUUUGUUUUUUGGUUUCGGUUGCUCUGGUAGCAACAUACGAUCCUCAGUGAAUAUAGGAGGCAGUAUCCAGUGAUGCUUACUCUUUGGCUGACUUCUGGUGAUCUUUCUUUACUUCUCUUUCCUUUGAAUUUUCAUUACACGACAUGUUUUUGUGAGAUCUGAACAACGUUUUGUGAUUAAGAUAAAGCAGAAGCUCUCCAAGGCGAGGAAGGGACAAUUUUUCUUAGAUAUAUGUUAAGACGAGCCGAUUGUAGAUGAAAGACGAGCUUGAGGCCGGAAGACGAUCUUGAUGUCCGAGUAAGAAUAGAGUUUAUUCGUCUUAUAGCUGAACCUUGUAAAAGGUUGCCUACGUACCCUUAGAAAGGGAUCAAGCCACACGUAGUUCAUAUCGUGAUAAACAAGCUAGGCCAUUACUGGAGGAAGGUCGUAUGGUAGGUGACGAGCCGGCAGAUGUGCGACGAGCUGGAUGAACCGUGGUAGAGGCGAAUUGGACAAACCGAGUUCUGCUGAAGGUUUAGACUAGCUGGCGACGAGAUAGGUGGACUAUGCAGCCAAUGGACGAACUGCCGCUAGGCGAGGAGGUAGAUGAGUUUUGCAGUCGAGGGAUGAGUUGAUAGCUAGACGAGUUGGACGAGCUGAAUAGCUGACAGCUAGGCGAGGAGAUGGUCGUUGAGUAUGGGAAGAGCUUGAAGACGAGCUGAGGAGCUUGGAGACGAUCUGAUGAACUUGAGUACGAGCUAAGGAGCUUGAAGAGCUUAAAGGCGAGCUGAAUAGCUAAGACGAGCUACUUGAGAAGGGCGAGCUACUUGAGAAGGAUGAGCUGACGAGCUUCGUGAGACGGACGAGAUGACGAGCUUUGUGAGACGGGCGAGCUGACAUUGUGUCUCUGCGUGUCAGGCGGCAUUCCCCCCUUUUGACAUGACACGAUAUUCUGAGUCUUCUGAGUCGCUCUAGAUCACUGGGAAAUUGAGCUUGAGUUCGGCUGGUCGGAUAGAGACGAAUCUCGGAUCGAGGCGAGGUCGAUGGUAACUCCUUAAUAGACAUCUCGGAUCGAGGCGAGGUCGGCUUCUUUAGAAAGCUGACUCGGGGCGAUCUGUAGAUAGGUAUAUCAUUGCCUAGUUCAUCAGGAUUUUCAAGGAAAACGAUUCCGAAGCUGACUGGUUUUAUAGAGCUGGGUCCUAUGACUGGCUGCACUUGCUUGAGGUAAACGUUUAUAUCUCUCAGCAUAUAUCUUCGAUUAAGGCGAGGUCAACUUCUCUGAAAGGAAGAUUCUCUGGGCGAUCCGUAGAUGUAUUAAACCUUACGAGAUUCCUUGUGAUUUGUCGGGAAAUCGGCCCCGUGGUGAGCUGGAUUAUUCAGACGGAUUCGUUAAGAAACAGACAGCAUCGACUUCAGAAAAACGGUGAUAACUCUGAGCAGAGGUAUCCGAUGGAGUUACGGUUAGAUUCCCUGGAACGCUGAUCUCCGGGGCAAUCCGUGGAAUGGUUGUACGUCAUCUGGUUCAUUGUAUCUUGACGGGAAAUC